rnacentral:lncRNA from 1 species
UUUGUUUCAUAUAUGAAAACAUUGACUGUGCGUUAUGGAUAGAUUACCCAAGUUUCUUAUAAAGGCAAUAGAAUGUGCAUGUGAGGAGUAUGGAAUAAUAACAUAUAGUUUCCAUGGUGAUAGUGACAAAACAAGAAUUUCGAUUAUGUUCUCGAAUACUGAUACAAAUAAGCAGGUAAAACGUAAAUCAGAAUCGGCAAGAAAGAGAGACA